rnacentral:rRNA from 1 species
UACGAGAGGCCCAAACGUUAUUCGGAUUUACUGGGCUUAAAGAGUUCGUAGGCGGUUCGGUAAGUGAGGUGUGAAAGCCCUCGGCUCAACCGAGGAAUUGCGCUUCAAACUGCCGGGCUCGAGGGAGAUAGAGGUGAGCGGAACUGAUGGUGGAGCGGUGAAAUGCGUUGAUAUCAUCAGGAACACCAGAGGCGAAGGCGGCUCACUGGGCCGAUACUGACGCUGAGGAGCGAAAGCGUGGGGAGCAAACAGG